rnacentral:rRNA from 1 species
GGCCGCGGGAAUUCGAUUCCUAACACAUGCAAGUCGAGCGAACCCUUCGGGGUGAGCGGCGGACGGGUGAGUAACGCGUGGGUAACCUGCCCUGUACACACGGAUAACAUACCGAAAGGUAUGCUAAUACGAGAUAAUAUAUUUUAAUCGCAUGGUUAAGAUAUCAAAGCUCCGGCGGUACAGGAUGGACCCGCGUCUGAUUAGCUAGUUGGUGAGGUAAUGGCUCACCAAGGCGACGAUCAGUAGCCGACCUGAGAGGGUGAUCGGCCACACUGGAACUGAGACACGGUCCAGACUCCUACGGGAGGCAGCAGUGGGGAAUAUUGCACAAUGGGCGAAAGCCUGAUGCAGCAACGCCGCGUGAGCGAUGAAGGCCUUCGGGUCGUAAAGCUCUGUCCUCAAGGAAGAUAAUGA